rnacentral:tRNA from 1 species
CCCCCCGUAGCUCAGUUGGUAGAGCAUGGUGUUUGCAACGCCAGGGUUGUGGGUUCGAUUCCCACGGGGGGC